rnacentral:lncRNA from 1 species
CAGCAUCCUGGGGUAAGCUGGGUUUAAUGGCUGCCCCAGCAUCCUGGGAUGAGAUGGGCUUAACAGGGUGCCCCAGCAUCCUGGGGUAAGCUGGGUUCAAAGGGGUGCCCCAGUGUCCUGGGGUAAUCUUGGUUUAAAGGGCUGCCUCAGUGUCCUGGGCCUCAGCAUCCUGGAGUAAACUGGGCCUGGGGUCUGCCCCAACAUCCUGGGGUAAGCUGGGUUCAAAGGGCUGCCUCAGUGUCCUGGGCCUCAGCAAUCUGGAGUAAACUGGGCCUGGGGUCUGCCCCAGCAUCCUGGGCACGUGGACAGGCCCGGCCUGGAGCCCGGCCCAGAGCAUCUCGUCGGUGCUGAUCUCCAUCCAGUCGCUGAUGACCGAGAACCCGUACCACAACGAGCCCGGCUUCGAGCAGGUCAGACUGGGCUGGGACUGGGACUGGGACGGGCUGGGAUUGCAGGCUGGAAAUGGGAUUAUAGCCUGGGAUUGACUGGGAACCCAGCCUGGAACUGGGAUUGCAGGCUGGGACUGGGAUUGCAGCCUGGGACUGGGAUUAUAGCCUGAAACUGGGAUUAUAGCCUGGGACUGGGAUUGCAGCCUGGAACUGGGAUUGCAGCCUGGGACUAGGAUUGCAGCCUGGGACUGGGAUUAUAGCCUGGAACUGGGAUUAUAGCCUGGGACUGACUGGGAUACGGGCUGGGAAUGACUGGGAACCCAGCCUGGAACUGGGAUUACAACCUGGGACUGACUGGGAUUGCCAUCUGGGACUAACUGGGAACCCAGCCUAGAACUGGGAUUGCAGGCUGGGACUGGGAUUGCAGACUGGGACUGACUGGGAUUGCAGGCUGGGAUUGACUGGGGUUCCAGGCUGGGACUGACUGGGAACCCAGCCUGGAACUGGGAUUACAGCCUGGAACUAACUGGGAUUGCAGGCUGGGACUGGGAUUAUAGCCUGGGAUUGACUGGGAUACAGGAUGGGAAUGACUGGGAACCCAGCCUGGAACUGGGAUUACAGGCUGGGACUGACUGGGAUUACAACCUGGGACUGACUGGGGUUCCAGGCUGGGAAUCACUGGGAGCCCAUCCUAGAACUGGGAUUAUAGCCUGAGGCUGACUGGAAUUCCAGCCUAAAACUAACUGGGAUUGCAGGCUGGGACUGACUGGGAAGCCAGUUUGGAACUGGGAUUACAGCCUGGAACUAACUGGGAUUGCA